AUUGAACGCUGGCGGCAGGCCUAACACAUGCAAGUCGAACGAGUGGCGGACGGGUGAGUAAUGUCUGGGAAUCUGCCCGAUGGAGGGGGAUAACUACUGGAAACGGUAGCUAAUACCGCAUACCAUCGGAUGUACCCAGAUGGGAUUAGCUAGUGGGUGGGGUAACGGCUCACCUAGGCGACGAUCCCUAGCUGGUCUGAGAGGAUGACCAGCCACACUGGAACUGAGACACGGUCCAGACUCCUACGGGAGGCAGCAGUGGGGAAUAUUGCACAAGGGGCGCAAGCCUGAUGCAGCCAUGCCGCGUGUAUGAAGAAGGCCUUCGGGUUGUAAAGUACUUUCAGCGGGGAGGCGUUAACCGCAGAAGAAGCACCGGCUAACUCCGUGCCAGCCGCCGCGGUAAUAC
rnacentral:rRNA from 1 species